UAUUAUAAGGUAAACUUUGUUCAGUUUUGCCGGGUUCUAUGUUGUGCGCAUCACUGGGUGAAGUUUGUCGUAUAAU
rnacentral:pre_miRNA from 15 species